UACAGAGGGGGCAAGCGUUGUUCGGAAUUACUGGGCGUAAAGGGCGCGUAGGCGGCCUUCUAAGUCGAACGUGAAAUCCCCGGGCUCAACCCGGGAACUGCGUCCGAUACUGGAAGGCUUGAAUCCGGGAGAGGGAUGUGGAAUUCCAGGUGUAGCGGUGAAAUGCGUAGAUAUCAGGAAGAACACCCGUGGCGAAGGCGGCUCUCUGGGACGGUACUGACGCUGAGACGCGAAAGCGUGGGGAGCGAACAGG
rnacentral:rRNA from 1 species